rnacentral:rRNA from 1 species
GACGAACGCUGGCGGCGUGCUUAACACAUGCAAGUCGAACGGAAAGGCCCCUUUGGGGGUACUCGAGUGGCGAACGGGUGAGUAACACGUGAGUAACCUGCCCUUGACUUCGGGAUAACUUCAGGAAACUGGGGCUAAUACCGGAUAGGAAUCCUUGCUGCAUGGUGGGGGUUGGAAAGCUUCGGCGGUUUUGGAUGGACUCGCGGCUUAUCAGCUUGUUGGUGGGGUAGUGGCUUACCAAGGCUUUGACGGGUAGCCGGCCUGAGAGGGCGACCGGGCACAUUGGGACUGAGAUACGGGCCAGACUCCUACGGGAGGCAGCAGUGGGGAAUAUUGCACAAUGGGCGGAAGCCUGAUGCAGCAACGCCGCGUGCGGGAUGACGGCCUUCGGGUUGUAAACCGCUUUCAGCAGGGGCGAAGCUUGUGGUGACGGUACCUGCAGAAGAAGCACCGGCUAACUACGUG